rnacentral:rRNA from 1 species
GACGAACGCUGGCGGCGUGCUUAACACAUGCAAGUCGAGCGGUAAGGCCCUUCGUGGUACACGAGCGGCGAACGGGUGAGUAACACGUGAGUAAUCUGCCCAUCACUUCGGGAUAACUCCGGGAAACCGGUGCUAAUACCGAAUAUGACCACUUCAGGCAUCUGAUGGUGGUGGAAAGUUCCGGCGGUGAUGGAUGAGCUCGCGGCCUAUCAGCUUGUUGGUGGGGUAGUGGCCUACCAAGGCUUCGACGGGUAGCCGGCCUGAGAGGGUGACCGGCCACACUGGGACUGAGACACGGCCCAGACUCCUACGGGAGGCAGCAGUGGGGAAUAUUGGACAAUGGGCGAAAGCCUGAUCCAGCAACGCCGCGUGAGGGAUGACGGCCUUCGGGUUGUAAACCUCUUUCAGCAGGGACGAAGCGCAAGUGACGGUACCUGCAGAAGAAGCACCGGCCAACUACGUG